CGAGCGAGCGGCUCACUUAUCUUCCUCGUUUUGACUUCCCCUUUGCAGCAGUGCAACCUCAAUGGUUCAAGCAGCUGCAAUCAUUGUGAGCGUUGAGGAGCGCAAGACAGGCGAACCGAGAGCCGUCACCCAUCCACAUCCCCACAGGCAUGAUUUCAGCAGAACCGGCCCCCCACUUAGUGUAUUUGACAAGCUGAGUUGGACACUUUGAAUGUGCGAGUGUCAGUUUGUCAAAUACCCGAAGUGAGGCGUCACUGACCUACAAGAGAACGCCGUCCUCCCCCAACGGCGCCAAGUCAGCAGGCCUGAAAUAAUCGACAAUUUCUCGUUUAAACACAGUAACGUGUGUAUUUGAUAAGUUUAAAGCACAGCGCCAGCAUCAAGAUAACAUGAAUGCACUGUUUUCUGAAUGCUACAUUUCAAUAGAAUAUUAUUUUUUUCAACAAAACUGUUAACAAUCCUUAUUAGUGCUACACUCUAAACAAUAAAUGAAAUAAAACAAUUCUUGAAAAAAAUGUUACUCCUGCAAUUGACCACAUUUUGUGUUUGUAAAUGACACCAAUAAAAAAAACUUUAUAUAUAUAUAUAUAUA